GCGCGUCGUCUCGUCUGAUCUGAGGUCG
rnacentral:rRNA from 1 species